CGGCGCCCCGCCCCUUGACCGUGGUGGGCGGGACUUUAUCGCAUCGUGACCCCCUCCUCCUCCUCAUCCUCAGUCCAGUGAAGAAGAAAGACCUCCGGCAGCGAAACUUCAUUUCCUGUGUGCACCAACAGAAAAGGGGCGUUUUGUUCAAGAAGUUAUCUCACACUCACACACACACACACACACACACACACACACACACACACACACACACACACACACACUCAUCUGCUCCAUGGAGAUAAAAGUGAGACCAAAGUUAACAGGACCCAUACAGAGGUCCAGAUGAGGGCAGCAGGAGCGCUCCAGCUAUGCUAGCACAACGGACUUAACUGCUGCUUGUUUGCUGCUGCUGCUGCCACCCUCCCCCCCGCCCCUCGUACUUCCAGCCAUGUUGCUGAAGAGGAAGCUGUACGUGGUGGUGGUGAUCGCCGCCGUCCUCCUCCUCAUGCUUGCCAGUCAGAGUAUCCAGAAGAGGCAUUUCCUCUCGCUGUCCUUGGACACGCCCUUUAGCCAGACCACACCCACUGGGGAAAACUUCAGUAGGGAGUCAGCGCCUCCUGCCGGCAUUCCCGACACACACAUUCCUCCCAUCACCACCAGGCUGCAGACUCGGAUAGAGAACUCCGACGCUGACGCAAGGCCAUGCGGUUGUUCCCAGUCCUGCAUCUCGGAUCUGAACGUGUCAGACUGGUUCAGCCAUCGCUAUGAUCCCAAACAGCGGCCAGUUCUCCACGAUGGAGAUAACAGCUUUGACCCUGAUGCCCUCACGUGGUGGCUGAGUCUCCAACGCUCCGGAAGCGAGCAAACGUUACAGGAAGUGAUGUCAGAAAUGUUCAAAGUCAUUUCCCCGCCCACUGUGGAUUUCAUACCUCGACCAUCGCGUUGCCGCGCUUGUGCAGUGGUGGGAAACUCCGGCAACCUGCAACAGUCCGGACACGGAAAACUGAUCGACUCCCACGCUUCUGUGAUCCGAAUGAACAAGGCCGUGACUCGAGGUUUUGAAAAGGAUGUCGGGACUCGCACAACGCAUCACUUCCUGUACCCGGAGAGUGCUGUGGACGUGGCUCACGGUGUUAGUCUCAUAUUGCUGCCCUUCAAGCUCAGAGACCUGGAGUGGCUGACCAGUGCUCUGUCCACUGGACAGGUGAAAAUGACGUACAUGAGGGUGAAAGACAGAGUGGAGGCAGAUAAAGACAAGGUUUUGGUGGUGAAUCCAGUUUUCUUUAAAUACGUUCAUGAUCGCUGGACCGAGCGUCAUGGUCGCUACCCGUCCACUGGCAUGCUGGCCAUCAUCUUUGCUCUGCACACGUGCGACCAGGUGUCAGUGUUUGGUUACGGUGCAGACAAGCAGGGCAACUGGCAUCACUACUGGGAGGAGAAUCGCUAUGCCGGAGCCUUCCGGAAGACCGGUGUCCAUAGCGCCGACUUUGAGACUCAAGUGAUCCAGCAGCUGGCCAAGGAGGGAAAAAUCAGCCUGCACAUGUGAACAGACCACCUACCUACCUGGACCCCCCACCCCUGACAACAGGUCUUGACCAGCCCAUGAACAUACGUGGACAUUCGCCACUUAAUGACAAAGCUUGACGUCAAGUGACUUCAAGUCCUGCUGACUGCCGGCUGUCCUCCUGGCUAGGAUCGGGACUCAGGACAAAGACUGCUCGCCCAUCUUGGGGAAAACAUCCAUGUGCCUUUUUGACACCACUGUGGACAAUUUUUUUUCUCGGACCGUCCUGCAACCACAAAAAGUUUUGCGCUGAGUGGGGAACAACCACAGACUUGACACUAUUUAGGGAUAACCUCUUUUUUUUUAUCUGAGCACUUUGCCUUAAACAAACGGCAGCCAUGUUACUGCUUCAUUGGCCCCUUUCACACUCCGGACGCACACUUCGGAUGCUUUCACACAUUGUGCGGGUGCGUUUACAAUAUACAUACAUACUAUAAACACCCUAAAUGCAUCACGGCAAAUCACUUGACACUGCUCUCUCCUUAAAUUGGAUGGCGUGGGAAUUUAAACAGGAAGAAAGGCUGCAGGAAAUUGACAAAAAGUGUGAAAAGCACCCUGAAAUGUUAGUUUUCUUGGUGGUCGGAACCAGCACCGAAUUAGGGGACAUCAAUUGACCCGGCUAUGUAUCAGUAGUAGGAUCUCUAACAGGGUUUUGUGUAAAAGGGGCUUUAAGGAUUCCAUUCUUUCAGAGACAGAAUUGAAUGGUAACCGUCCUGAAUCUGCUCGUCUUGAUUAUUGCUGAUAUUCCAAACACAUUUCCCGUGUUUUGCAUCCGUAAAGUAUUUCAUCCUAAUUGCCUGUGUUUCCAAAUGAAUGAAAUAUACUUUUUUUUUUCCUCAAGUGAAAUGAUGACAGAUAAUAUCUGGAUGCACUCGCAUAACAUGCCUUAACACGAUCACACCAGCACUGCUGAGUGAUUGGCAUCGAAAAAAGGAUUUCAAUUCAUGUGUUUGCUUUAAAGAAUGUUAUUAUUUCUUAAUCACUACAUAAUGUCGCAGUAAUUUGUAAAGUCCAACAACAAAGUCGAUGCGAGACGUCACCUUUGAGAACAACUCGUACAUUCAUGACACAUUCUUUUGUGCUACCGUAAGUGUAAAUUAGCGUGACUGGAGGUUCGAGAACCGGCCAACAGGUAUCGCUCAAGUGGCCCAGCUGACUGCUGCGCUUUCUGUACUGUGAAUGCUGAAAUCCCGAUUGCUGAUUAUCAAUCAUGUAUAAAUUUGUGUACAAAUGACAAUGAAGGAAAAUAUGCAUCGGUCAGUAUUUCUUUAAUCACAUUUUGCAUAGGCUUUGGCUUAUAGAUGUAUGGAUUUUUCCGAAGAACAAAUUCCCAUACAUCAAAUUAUGAGAAUAAAAAAAACAACAUGAAUAUAAAGAAUAAAGUGAGCUAUACAUUUUUUUUUUCUUGUGGCAAAAUGGACUUGGUCAUGCAUGUGUUGCCUGCUAUGAUAGCCAAUCGCCUCUAGAGGGCCCCCUAUUAAAGGGAGCCGUUUUAUAGCAUCCCCUCUUACUUGCUGCUGGUCGCCUUUUCUCCCCACGAAAAAUCCGGUUGUGUUAUUGUGGAACAAGGCCUUGGCUUCCGGCUGUCUCUUUCCCCGGUGCUGCUUUUGACAGUAAGGAGACCCAAGGCAGUGGGAAAACAGACACCAGUACUAAUAGGUACUGGGCUGUGGACCAAGGACCAUCACAAAGCUCACCUUCCACCGCCACCUCCCUGGAGCGCACCAGGUCACUCUUGUUGCCAACGAGGAUGAUGGGAAGGUUCUCAGCCUGGCGGAUACGUCGCAGCGUGAUGCGGAGCUCGGCGGCGGCGUCAAAGCUGGAGCGGUCGGUGACGGAGUAGACGAUGACAUAAGCGCUUCCCACCUUCAAGCAGUCGUCUUGAGCAGUGCGGCCAUCUUCCUCCUAGCGUGAGUAUCACAUGAGUGACGUGAACAAUAUCCACACACAAUUUAAUUGUUGUUUAAUUGUUGUGGGCAUGCUGGAGCCUAUCCCAGCUGUAUUCGAGCGAGAAGUGGGGUACACCCUGGACUGGUUCUCAGCCAAUUGCAGGUCAGAUAAGAUCUAUCCAUUCAUUGUCUAUACCACUCAUCCUCACUAGGGUUUUGGGCAUGCUGGAGCCUAUCCCAGCUGUAUUUGGACGAGAGAUGGGGUACACCCUGGACUUGUCCUCAGCCAAUUGCAGGUCAGAUAAGAUCUAUCUAUCCAUUUUCUAUACCACUUAUCCUCACUAGGGUUGUGGGCAUGCUGGAGCCUAUCCCAGCUGUUAUUCGGGCGAGAAGUGGGGUACACCCUGGACUGGUCCUCAGC